AAUUUUGGACAAUGGGGGAAACCCUGAUCCAGCCAUCCCGCGUGUAUGAUGAAGGCCUNAGGGUUNUNAAGUACUUUUGGCAGCGNCGAAAAGGUACCUCCUAAUACGAGGUACUGCUGACGGUAUCUGCCGAAUAAGCACCGGCUAACUACGUGCAAGCAGCCGCGGUAAUACGUAGGGUGCAAGCGUUAAUCGGAAUUACUGGGUUGAAAACGUGUGUAAGCGGUGCGGAAAGAAAGAUGUGAAAUCCCAGGGCUCAACCUUGGAACUGCAUUUUUAACUGCCGAGCUAGAGUAUGUCAGAGGGGGGUAGAAUUCCACGUGUAGCAGUGAAAUGCGUAGAUAUGUGGAGGAAUACCGAUGGCGAAGGCAGCCCCCUGGGAUAAUACUGACGCUCAGACACGAAAGCGUGGGGAGCAAACA
rnacentral:rRNA from 1 species